AAUCCUGGCUCAGAAUCAACGCUGGCGGCGUGCCUAACACAUGCAAGUCGAACGCGAAAAUCCCGCAAGGGAUAAGUAGAGUGGCAAACGGGUGAGUACCACGUGGGUGACCUGCCUUCGAGCGGGGGAUAACGUCCCGAAAGGGACGCUAAUACCGCAUGACAUCCUGCCUUGAAGAGGUGGAGAUCAAAGCCGGGGAUCGCAAGACCUGGCACUCGAAGAGGGGCCCGCGCCUGAUUAGCUAGUUGGUGGGGUAACGGCUCACCAAGGCGACGAUCAGUAGCCGGCCUGAGAGGGCGGACGGCCACACUGGGACUGAGACACGGCCCAGACUCCUACGGGAGGCAGCAGUGGGGAAUUGUUCGCAAUGGGCGCAAGCCUGACGACGCAACGCCGCGUGGAGGACGAAGACCUUCGGGUCGUAAACUCCUUUCGAUCGAGACGAAUGGCCUUCGGGUGAAUAAUCCGGAGGAAUGACGGUACCGAGAGAAGAAGCCCCGGCUAACUCCGUGCCAGCAGCCGCGGUAAUACGGGGGGGGCAAGCGUUGUUCGGAAUUACUGGGCGUAAAGGGCUCGUAGGCGGCCGCCGAAGUCCGACGUGAAAUCCCUCGGCUCAACCGAGGAACUGCGUCGGAUACUGGGUGGCUUGAAUCCAAGAGAGGGAUGCGGAAUUCCAGGUGUAGCGGUGAAAUGCGUAGAUAUCUGGAGGAACACCGGUGGCGAAGGCGGCAUCCUGGAUUGGUAUUGACGCUGAGGAGCGAAAGCCAGGGGA
rnacentral:rRNA from 1 species